rnacentral:rRNA from 1 species
UACGUAGGGUGCGAGCGUUGCCCGGAUUUAUUGGGCGUAAAGGGCGCGUAGGCGGCCACGCACGUCCGUUGUGAAAUCGCUCGGCUCAACUGGGCGGGGUCAGCGGAUACGGAGUGGCUGGAGCAAGCUAGGGGGCAAUGGAAUUCCCGGUGUAGUGGUGGAAUGCGUAGAUAUCGGGAGGAGCACCAGUGGCGAAGGCGGUUGCCUGGAGCUUUGCUGACGCUGAUGCGCGAAAGCGUGGGGAGCGAUCCGG